CCUACGGGUGGCAGCAGUGGGGGAUAUUGCACAAUGGGGGAAACCCUGAUGCAGCGACGCCGCGUGGGUGAAGAAGUAUUUCGGUAUGUAAAGCCCUAUCAGCAGGGAAGAAAGAAGACGGUACCUGACUAAGAAGCCCCGGCUAACUACGUGCCAGCAGUCGCGGUAAUACGUAGGGGGCGAGCGUUAUCCGGAUUCACUGGGUGUAAAGGGAGCGUAGACGGCCGUGCAAGCCAGGAGUGAAAGCCCGGGGCCCAACCCCGGGACUGCUCUUGGAACUGUGCGGCUGGAGUGCGGGAGGGGCAGGCGGAAGUCCUGGUGUAGCGGUGAAAUGCGUAGAUAUCAGGAGGAACACCGGCGGCGAAGGCGGCCUGCUGGACCGCGACUGACGUUGAGGCUCGAAAGCGUGGGGAGCGAACAGGAUUAGAUACCCGUGUAGUC
rnacentral:rRNA from 1 species